CCUACGGGGGGCAGCAGUGAGGAAUCUUGGUCAAUGGCCGGAAGGCUGAACCAGCCAAGCCGCGUGAGGGAGGAAGGCGCAGAGCGUCGCAGACCUCUUUUGCCGGGGGACACCAGGCCGGACUCGUCCGGUCCUGAGGGUACCCGGAGCAAAAGCAUCGGCUAACUCCGUGCCAGCAGCCGCGGUAAUACGGGGGAUGCGAGCGUUAACCGGUUUCAUUGGGUUUACAGGGUGCGCAGGCGGGCCUUUAAGCCGGCGGGGAACUCGCGGGGCUCAACCCCGCCGAGCCGUCGGAACUGGGGGCCUUGAGGGCGGCGGAGGCAGGCGGAAUGCGCGGUGUAGCGGUGAAAUGCAUAGAUAUCGCGCAGAACCCCGAUUGCGAAGGCAGCGUGCCGUGCCGCCACUGACGCGGAGGCACGAAAGCGCGGGGAUCGAACAGGAUUAGAUACCUAGUAGUC
rnacentral:rRNA from 1 species